AAUUCUUCUCUUGGUUCGUAUAUAGCUCUGAGGAAACAGAGAGCAGUAGGAUCAAUGUUCAGUGGCAAUGGCCAUUGCCUCAGAUAUGUGCAUUCUUUCUGGUGAACAUCACUAAAGCCUACAAUCAUUUCCAAGCCAAAUGCAAAAAUGCAUGGCGGCGAAGCCAACCUGCUGUCACUCACUCCUAAAAGAUCCAUUCAUUCUCUUUCCCCUCUCCUCCCAUUUCCAUCUUCUCCUCUCCUGUCCCAUCUUUCUCAAGGCAUCCUCAUUUCUUGUUGUAGUUCCCAUGUUAGUAAGGUGGCACAUCCAAGCUAUCCAAGGUGCUGAGCCUAUUUCAGGGUUGAGUUCAGUUCUUUGAAAGUUCAAUACAAAAUUUGGGGCAGAUCAUCUGUUCGAUUGAAAGGGAAGCCAUGAACCAUUACUGCAGAGCCACCUUUCUUUCUAAAUAUUCCACACCCUAAGCCAUUUGUGUAACCUCUCAGCAUUGCAAAAACAACAUAGAAAUGAGUGGAUUUUUAGUUACCUGAAGGGACAUGUUUCAUGGUAUCAGUCUUCCUGCCUGUUCCAUUCACUUUCUCUUAAAAGUCCUUAACUUGAUUAUGUGUAUCUACUUUAUGUGACCUUAAAAACAACACAAAUAGUACAAAGUACAGAUCAUAGUGAUGCAUGCGGGCACUGUACUAGAGGCUGCGAUCGUUUUAACAGUAAGCUUGAUACUUCUUAACCUCCAGUCGAGCCUCCGUUACCCCAAUGUUUUUAAUUUAGCUCCCGCCACCUUAGCACAUAGCACUUUAACAUUUGGGAGACUAGAAGGGAGAAAGGAAGGGAGACUUCCCAGUGAUUGUGCUAGAGCAUUUGAAAGAGAGAGAAAGAGAGAGAAAGAGGGAGCGGGAAAGAGGGAGAAAGAGAGAAAGAUUGAGAGAGAAGGAAGGGAGAAAGAAAGGGAGACCGGGAAAGAGAGAGAGAGGAAGAAAAGGGGGCAAGAAAAAAAAAGAAACGAACAGGACACAGCAAAGUUGUGA
rnacentral:lncRNA from 1 species